CGCUGGCGGCGUGCCUAAUACAUGCAAGUCGAACGGUCUUUCUAUGGAAGCUUGCUUCCACUGAGAAGAUAGUGGCGAACGGGUGAGUAACACGUGGGUAACCUGCCCAUAAGAGGGGGGAUAACAUCCGGAAACGGGUGCUAAUACCGCAUAGUUUCUUGAUCGCAUGAUCGGGAAAGGAAAGACGGCCUUUGUGCUGUCGCUUAUGGAUGGACCCGCGGCGUAUUAGUUAGUUGGUGAGGUAACGGCUCACCAAGACGAUGAUACGUAGCCGACCUGAGAGGGUGAUCGGCCACAUUGGGACUGAGACACGGCCCAAACUCCUACGGGAGGCAGCAGUAGGGAAUCUUCCGCAAUGGACGAAAGUCUGACGGAGCAACGCCGCGUGAGUGAAGAAAAGGGUUUUCGGAUCGUAAAACUCUGUUGUCAGAGAAGAACAAGUUGGAGAGUAACUGCUCCAGCCUUGACGGUAUCUGACCAGAAAGCCACGGCUAACUACGUGCCAGCCGCCGC
rnacentral:rRNA from 1 species